rnacentral:rRNA from 1 species
GCACCCCAGUUCAGGCGGGGCUACCCGCUGAGUUUAAGCAUAUCAUA